UACAGAGACUGCAAGCGUUAUUCGGAUUCACUGGGCGUAAAGGGUGCGCAGGCGGCCACGUGUGUGGGGUGUGAAAGCUCGAAGCUUAACUUCGAAACAGCACCCCAAACUACGUGGCUAGAGCAUUGGAGGGAGUAGCAGAAUUCACGGUGUAGCAGUGAAAUGCGUAGAUAUCGUGAGGAAUACCAGAGGCGAAGGCGGCUACUUGGACAAUUGCUGACGCUCAGGCACGAAAGCGUGGGGAGCAAAAGGG
rnacentral:rRNA from 1 species